GUAGGUGGCAAGCGUUGUCCGGAAUUAUUGGGCGUAAAGCGCGCGCAGGCGGUUCCUUAAGUCUGAUGUGAAAGCCCCCGGCUCAACCGGGGAGGGUCAUUGGAAACUGGGGAACUUGAGUGCAGAAGAGGAGAGCGGAAUUCCACGUGUAGCGGUGAAAUGCGUAGAGAUGUGGAGGAACACCAGUGGCGGAGGCGGCUCUCUGGUCUGUAACUGACGCUGAGGCGCGAAAGCGUGGGGAGCGAACAGGAUUAGAUACCCUGGUAGUCCACGCCGUAAACGAUGAGUGCUAAGUGUUAGAGGGUUUCCGCCCUUUAGUGCUGCAGCAGACGCAUUAAGCACUCCGCCUGGGGAGUACGGCCGCAAGGCUG
rnacentral:rRNA from 1 species